UGGGGAGCAAACAGGAUUAGAUACCCUGGUAGUCCACGCCGUAAACGAUGAGCACUAAGUGUCGGAGUAAAAUUCGGUGCUGCAGUUAACACAGUAAGUGCUCCGCCUGGGGAGUACGGUCGCAAGACUGAAACUCAAAGGAAUUGACGGGGACUCGCACAAGCGGUGGAGCAUGCGGUUUAAUUCGAUGCAACGCGAAGAACCUUACCAGGUCUUGACAUACUGUUGCUGGGGUUAGAGAUAAUCCGUUUCUUCGGAACAACAGAUACAGGUGGUGCAUGGUUGUCGUCAGCUCGUGUCGUGAGAUGUUGGGUUAAGUCCCGCAACGAGCGCAACCCUUAUCAUUAGUUGCUAACAGUAAGAUGAGCACUCUAAUGAGACCGCCGGCGCAAGCCGGAUGAAGGUGGGGAUGACGUCAAAUCAUCAUGCCCCUUAUGACCUGGGCUACACGCGUGCUACAAUGGCUAGUACAAAGAGUUGCGAAGCCGCGAGGUGGAGCUAAUCUCACAAAGCUAGUCUCAGUUCGGAUUGUAGUCUGCAACUCGACUACAUGAAGUUGGAAUCGCUAGUAAUCGUGAAUCAGCAUGUCACGGUGAAUACGUUCUCGAGUCUUGUACACACCGCCCGUCACACCAUGAGAGUUUAUAAUACCCGAAGCCGGUGGCCUAACCGCAAGGGGGGAGCCGUCUAAGGUAGGAUAAAUGAUUGGGGUGAAGUCGUAACAAGGUAUCCCUACGAGAACGUGGGGAUG
rnacentral:rRNA from 1 species